AUUGAACGCUGGCGGCAUGCCUUACACAUGCAAGUCGAACGGCAGCACGGGUGCUUGCACCUGGUGGCGAGUGGCGAACGGGUGAGUAAUACAUCGGAACGUACCUUAUCGUGGGGGAUAACGCUGCGAAAGCUGUGCUAAUACCGCAUACGCCCUGAGGGGGAAAGCGGGGGAUCGAAAGACCUCGCGCGAUUAGAGCGGCCGAUGCCUGAUUAGCUUGUUGGUGGGGUAAAAGCCCACCAAGGCGACGAUCAGUAGCUGGUCUGAGAGGGCGAUCAGCCACACUGGGACUGAGACACGGCCAGACUCCUACGGGAGGCAGCAGUGGGGAAUUUUGGACAAUGGGGGCAACCCUGAUCCAGCAAUGCCGCGUGAGUGAAGAAGGCCUUCGGGUUGUAAAGCUCUUUUGUCAGGGAAGAAACACCGGCUCUAACACAGUCCGGGAAUGACGGUACCUGAAGAAUAAGCACCGGCUAACUACGUGCCAGCCGCCGCAGUAA
rnacentral:rRNA from 1 species